ACGAACAUGGCGGUGCGUUUGAUUAAUCUGCUUCCAUCCAACCUGAAAUAUGAAGUGUUUCAACUUUCACACACCAAGUUAUGACGUUGAAGCGGGCUGAAAACAUUUUACGGUGUUCUGAAAAUCCUGCAGACCUUUCCAGCGAGGCUCAGCCUGCGGUGGCUCUGUCCUUUCCUGUUGUGUCUGCUAGAGUAAUGUGAGGCUGUUUGAGGCCCUGCUGUGACCCAUCAUGGCAGGGUUAUAGGAGCAGUGCAUGAAGGCUGGCUGCUGCCAUCGAUGGCGUAUGGGUCACGAGAUGGAACCAUGGCGGCUGGCUUCUUCAGCAAUGACUCAUAAAGAGUAGCACAUGAAGAUGGGCAGCUGCCAUCUUCAGUUCCUCUAUGGCGCGUGGACCACGAGUUGCAAAUAAGCACGGCGGUGCUUCCAGAGGAAAGCUCUCCAGUCAUCGUGCAGAUGGUUGUUGUUGCUCAAAGCGCCAGAGACUUAAGAGUCUGACUUCACAGAUUUCAUCAUUUCAUCCAGAGAGCCGGAGAACCAGUUGAUCGAGCAAAAGAAAUAAAUAUUAAAAUAUUUUUUUAUUGCACUGCUUUAGUAAUGUACAGGUUGACUGUCAUUUGAAGCACUUGUUGGUUAAGUUGACUUGCCAGUUCUGUGGUUUAAUGUGGAAAGGGUCGGUGACACUAAAGAAACUAGAAAAAGGUAUUGCACAGAGAUAAAUCGAUUGUAAUCUGUUACACAUUUAAACACAUGAAAGUGUUCGACCAGUUGAAAUUAAUACUAGAGAAACAUUAAAAUAAAAUCAUGAAAAUGGAUCUUGUUUUAUUUAUUUCAUUCCUUCGAGGAGCCAGAGCAGGUGACAUUGAGAGAAAUUUAAAACUGCUGACUAAGGCUAAAUGUAAAUUCAGUAAAAUUGUAAUUCACAUCGGCAGUAAUGACACAUUAGACCAGGAGUGACAUGUUUAGCUGCUUGUUCUCCGUAAAUUGCUGGCUGUCUGGGUGGUGUACAACAAAACGAUGUGGGCUUUAUAGAUAAUUGGGAAACUUUCUGGAGGAAAACUGGUCUUGUUAGGAGAGACGGCAUCCAUCCCACUUUGGAUUGAGCUGCUCUUGUUUCUAGAAAUCUGGCCAAAUUUAUUAAACCCCUCAAAACGUGACUAUCCAGGGUUGGCAGAGUUGGAGUCUCACGCGCCUCUGCAGCUUCUCUGCUCCUGUUAUCCCGCCCAAAACCCCAUCCCCUUAGAGCUGGGUGGGGAACUCCAGGCCUCAAGGUCCGGUGUCCUGCAGGUUUUAGAUCUCACCCUGGGUCAACACAUCUGAAUCAAAUGGUUAGUUCAUUACCAGGCCUCUGGAGAACUUCAAGACAGAUUGAGGAGGUAAUUUAGCUAUUUAAAUCAGCUGUGUUGGAUUAAGGACACAUCUAAAACCUGUAGGACACCUUGAAGCCUGGAGUUCCCCACUCCUACUUUGGAUAGAAAACCCAAACAAACUUAAAAGCCAGCAAAAAAAAGUAUUUAAACACAAAAUUACAAAGACAGAACACUACAG